GCCCAAGUGGGACGUGCCCAGCUGCACGUCUGGCGCGGGGGCUGGGCCGGUGCCGCCGCCAGGGCGUCUCGGGGUGCGGGGCAGGUGUAACUGCGCGCGUGGUAUGGUAGGAGAGCAGCGCUGGCGUCGCGUGGCGUAGCAGGGGGCAGAGCCCAGCCGAGGCGUGGGGAUAGCUGAACCCCCGCGCUGUUUGCCAAGGCAGCUCCGGGAUCUCUACCGCCUUGCAUGGAAACCGGGCUGUGUGCAAAGGGGCCUUCGCUCGAUGCAGCGGCCAGCAGCACAAGAGCCAUGCUUGGCACACACUUUGUUGUUCCACCACGGGGACGUGCAGUGCAGGGGUGUUGGUUUUUAAAGAUUACCUGGGAGCUAAGUGGAGUGUAUUAGCCCCAUUUUACAACUGGGGAAACGGAGGCACGGAAUAUUUACAACCAUUAUCCCUGACCAUGUUAAAGGUCCCUCGCAUAAGGGGAUGGGGGUAGCGGGGGUUUCUUUAUGAGGAAUAAGGAAACUUGGAAGGAUUUUUAGGUUGACUUUUGGAGAUGGAUAUGUAAGAAUAGAAACGCAGGCCUUGGAAAGCUCUAUAAUUGAAGAAUUAGUGAAAUUAGGAUAUCACAGAAGCCUGAAACCUGAGUCAUUGAGAGCAUCCUGAGCAAAAGACUUUGGAAGGAGGGGUCAGGAAGUUUAGUUAUGCCUCCCUGGAAUCCUCCCUUUCAGGAACUUUAUAUGCAUCUGAGUAGCUCAUUGCUGACUUAGCAUUUUUUCACAUAUCAAAAUGGAGUUGGAUGCCAGACACCAGGGUCUCUAACAUUCUACAGGAAAACCAACUGAAAGCUGAUACUGACACCCCCCCACCCCACCCCCAAAGAUGAGAAAAGACAUGAAGCUACGAAAUGCACGGGGUCAUUUUUGGGGUUCAAUUCUGAAGUUCUUGCUCAGGCUGCACUCCCAAUGAACUCCAUUGGGUUUUGUCUGCAGAAGCAGGCAGUGUGUUCUGAAGAAACGAUCAGGGGCCUGAGCAUCGGGCUGUUCUGAGUUCAAAUGGGAUGUUUUUCUAAAAGAUCUGUUCUAGGAAUUAUUUUGAAGAAGUUCCAUGGCCUGUGUGAUACAGGAGGUCCAGAUGAGAUGAUCACAAUGGUCCCUUCUGGCCUAGGAAUCUCUUAAUCUAAAUCCUGGUUUACCCAUUAAUUUGUUCUGCACCCUGGGAUGAGUCCCUUCAUCUUUCUGCCUCAGUUUCUCCAUCUGUAAAAUGAAGAUAAUAUUUGUGAUGGGUUGGAUCACAGGAACCCCCUUGAAAACUGCCCAGUGAUGUGCCAAGACUGCUUCUGCCCUGGCUUUCCCUGCCAGCUUGGGACCCCAGCACCCUGUCUUGCUGAGCCAGACACGCCCAUCUUCUCCAACACAGAUCCAGGGUCUGAAUUACUUGCCCCAAAUCUGCAGACUUAACUGAAAGCAGC